AAUGAACGCUGGCGGCGUGCCUAAUACAUGCAAGUCGAACGGAGUGGCGCACGGGCUUGUCAUGUAUAGCUUGUCUGCCCUACACUAGCGGACAACAUUUGGCAACGGCAGCUAAUACUCUAUAGUGUAUGAUGGGGCUAUAUUGUAUCAGCUAGCUGGUGAGGUAAUGGCUCAUCAAGGCUAUGACGCAUAACUGGUCUGAGGGGAUGAUCAGUCACACUUGAACGGAGACACAGUCCAGACUCCUACGAGAGGAAGCAGUAGGGAAUCUUGCUCAAUGGGGGAAACCCUGAAGCAGCAACGCCGCGUGGAGGAUGACACUUUUCGGAGCAUAAACUCCUUUUGUUAGGGAAGCGGUACCUAACGAAUAAGCACCGGCUAAAUCCGUGCCAGCAGCCGCGGUAAUUC
rnacentral:rRNA from 1 species